CAUAUUCAAUUGUCAGAGGUGAAAUUCUUGGAUUUAUGGAAGAUGAACUACUGCGAAAGCAUUUACCAAGGAUGUUUUCAUUAAUCAAGAACGAAAGUUAGGGGAUCGAAGAUGAUUAGAUACCAUCGUAGUCUUAACCAUAAACUAUGCCGACUAGGGAUUGGCGGUCGUUUUUCCGACUCCGUCAGCACCUUAUGAGAAAUCAAAGUCUUUGGGUUCCGGGGGGAGUAUGGUCGCAAGGCUGAAA
rnacentral:rRNA from 1 species